GUGGGCAGCCGAAAGGAGAAGUAGUCAGUAUGAGGAAAUUAUUUUGGUGAAGAAAUAAAUAGAUGCAGUGAAAAUCUGGCCAGCAUGAAUCACAUGAUACACGUGCCAGUUUUUUCAGUGUUAGUUCCUAUUUUUGAAGCGUCAAACAAACAGUAUAUAAGCACUGAUUUUACUGCUGUUUAGCACCUUCUCACUGGACGGCUGAAGCUAUCGGUCGGUGCUGAAAUGAAAUCUACUCUACAAAUAUUCUACAUAUUCUCCAGAAGAGAUAUUAAAGAUCACCAUGAGGCUGCUGAUUGUGUUUGCACUUCUUUGUGUAAUGGUCCCUCUGAUCAUUACUGCUCAAAAAUCGGGCAGCAGUGGAGCAGAGGAUAAGCCACCAGAAGAGCAUCUUGUUGACAAGAGAAGCCGGGGGCUUUGGCGCAGAGCUUUUAGUGUCUUUGGAUACGGGAAAAAGGUGGACGAAUGAUAUGUACGGUCACCACUGAUACCGAUUUUGUCUGGGUCUGAAAAAGAAGAUGAUCCCUGGUCUUCCAUGAAAAGCCAUGGCCACCAGACAAAGAAGCAAAUCAUUUCAUCCAACCCUAAACUAUCAGUUUCCCUCUUAGAUCUUUACUUAUUUCCUUUCGCUGUACUGCUACAUAAUGAAUUUGGCAACAAGUGACACAAACUGGAGUGGACUGGACCGUGUCUUCUAAUAGCAAUAGCUGUUCAUUUCUGUUCUUAUUAUCUUCAUCAUUAAACUCUUAAGCAUUAAAUCAAA
ensembl:lncRNA